AACGCGAAGAACCUUACCAGCCCUUGACAUCCCGGUCGCGGGAACGAGAGAUCGAUCCCUUCAGUUCGGCUGGACCGGAGACAGGUGCUGCAUGGCUGUCGUCAGCUAGUGUCGUGAGAUGUUGGGUUAAGUCCCGCAACGAGCGCAACCCUCGCCCUUAGUUGCCAUCAUUUAGUUGAGCACUCUAAGGAGACUGCCGGUGAUAAGCCGCGAGGAAGGUGGGGAUGACGUCAAGUCCUCAUGGCCCUUACGGGCUGGGCUACACACGUGCUACAAUGGCGGUGACAAUGGGACGCUAAGGGGCAACCCUUCGCAAAUCUCAAAAAGCCGUCUCAGUUCGGAUUGGGCUCUGCAACUCGAGCCCAUGAAGUUGGAAUCGCUAGUAAUCGUGGAUCAGCACGCCACGGUGAAUACGUUCCCGGGCCUUGUACACACCGCGCAUA
rnacentral:rRNA from 1 species